GUGUAUUCCUUGGAUGGGAUUCUGGUAUUUGGUUUGCUCUUUGUUUGCACCUGUGCCUACUUCAAGAAAGUACCUCGUCUCAAAACCUGGCUGCUAUCAGAGAAGAAGGGUGUUUGGGGUGUGUUUUACAAAGCUGCUGUGAUUGGAACCAGGCUGCAUGCUGCUGUGGCAAUUGCUUGUGUUGUAAUGGCUUUUUAUGUCCUGUUUAUAAAAUGAAUCCCAAAGUAUCCAGCUCAUCAAUUGCCAGCCAAGGGGAUGGGGAUGAAGAACCUGGUGGAGGCCUGGACCCAGUGUAGGAGAGUUCAGCUAAAAUCAUCAGGAUGACACCACAGUAUCUGCCCCUGCCACACGUGAGGAAAACUCCUUAUGGUCAUGAACAUUAUAUAUGUUUCAGGGGACUCUACAAAGCCAACUUCUUUGAUCUGUGUGUAAAUCAGUCCUUGACAGAGUGCAUAUAAUGUCCAGAUAAAUUAUACCCCUCGGUGAUAAGAUUACAUACCUUCUGCUUAAAAACCUGUCACCUAUUUUGUUUUUCAGCCCCUCAUCAGGAUCUUUUCAAACUGAGGCUCGUUAGGGAAGGGAAUAGGCUGUGUUCAGACCUCUUGGGAGGAGAGAUAAUUUUCAAGACUCGACUUUUUUUUACUGUUUGAUUUGGAUCUGGCAAAUUGGGGAGGGAGUGCUGGGUGGGAAAUAGGAGUUAUGCAAUGCCAAGAAAUUGUUUGGCUUUGGGAAUUUAUCUUUCACAUACCCAUCUAGGGACAUAAGCGACAGACAUGGCCCUGUUGCAAAAAGAGAACAGAUGAAGUAGCUGUGCUAUGUGCUGGUUGUUCAAGAGUUUUGCCAAGAGAAUCUGGGCCUACAUAAAAUUUGUGAAUUAUCUGUCAUGAGACCAGAGAGCAGUGGCUUAGACAAAAAAUUUUUGUUUGUCAGUGUCCCCAGAAGGAGACGUCACUCGAUCAAACGGUAUAUGAAAAUUAAUCAACUCUUACUAUUUCCUAAAGUCUUUUUAUAUUUCCUAAAUUACUUCGUGCUAAAUACUGUUACUCAAUUUGUUAUGCCACCACUAAGGGAAAAAGAAACUAUUGAAGAAAUAAUUGUUUAAUAUAUUAAUAUUUACAGUUAAAGUAGAAGAAAUAAAUCUAGUAUAUUGAUUCAUAUACUAGUGAAUUCAUCUAGUAUAAGAAUUAUAAUGUUAAAUGGAAGUUUUGUCAUGUUCUAAAAGAUACAAACUUAUUUUUUUGUUUAAGUCUGGGUUGUUAUGGCAAUUUUUAGUUGAUUACUUGUUUUUCUUGGCCAACUCUUAAUUUUCUUCAUAUUGCAGUGCUCUUUAGGUGUCUCUGGAAAUUCUGUUUACCGUAAGAACAUGAGAAAUUCAAAUGAGAGAAGUUGUUGAUAUUCAUUAGCAUGUUUGGACAGGACAGAGGAUCCAUGAAUAAAAUGAUAGUGUUUCCUGAAGUAAAGGAAAACAAGAGGUUUGCAGUUUAGAUUGAAGGGCUUUGCCAUGGAGUAGAGUGACUCCUGAGCAAAUCAUUUUAGAUGAUUUAACGUUUGAAGGGAAGACUUCUCCAUUCCAUCCUCCUUAUAUCUGCAAAAGGAUCAGCUGUUGGAUUUAUGAAGUCUAGAACUUCUCUAUUUUAAAAAAAAGCAGCUCUAAAAUUAAAUUAUUAUAAGCAAGCACAGAUACAGGUCUUCCAGUUGAAUUGUCCAUUACAGUAAAACUUAACUGUGGGCAAGUUAACUGUGGUUGACUCCUGUGUGGCAGUAAAUUGUCUUUUGUCUGCUUCCUCCAAAAGAAAGCUGCUGGGAAGUUUAGAUUCUGAAAUUGCAGUCUAGUGCUUUGAGGGUUUCUAAAAGUAUAGAAAGUCAUCAGUGAACACUACAUGUCUAAUCAUCUCAGAGUUGUGGCUGUUAUCUCUUCAGGAAUUGGUCCACAGGGUAAAUUUCAGUGAUUCAUGUAUUUUCCAUUGUCAUUUCUGAGGACCUUUCACAUGAGACAAAGGAAAGCCAGUGGAACAAGAAAGAAGAGUUACACCUUGUGGGUGUGAGUGUGGGACCUGUUGGUCAAAGGGAAUGUCCCUCCCUGGAAAUAGGUUCAGCAUGUUUUGCACUUGUUAUUUUGUAGCUUUAAUGACGUUUGUUUUCUAAUAGGGUUAAUGUCUCUAAGCUUGGUGCUUAGAGUUGCUUCAUAUUUUAAACUAGUUCCAUUCCACAAUUCUAGUUCAAACCAAUUUUUACAGCCUCCUGGGUGGGUCAUCUUGACUUAAACUCUUGAGUUGUUAUAUUUCGAGAUAUCAUCAUACCAGAAUGUACCAAAAAGUGCACAGGCGAAGGUAAUUUAUAGCAGGAAACAAAUACACAGCUUAUUUCAUUUUUUUACUUUAUGUAAGCAGAUAAGCAGAAACUUGUUUAACUCAUUACUUUGGUUGAUAUUUCAUAUAUUUUCGAGUAAAAAUUACAGGAAGUUAUUCCGCUGGGGGAGUGUUUUAGGGGUGGAGGAAUGGGGAUAGCAGUAUUGCCUCAGAUUCCAACUGGCAUCACCAUAAACACUAUGCCAGGGUGGAAUGAAGUCAGCUCCUUUUUAUAGUUGAAACACAAUUUUUUAUUCACCAUUGUAUGCACAAAUCCUUGAAAAUAAACUUUCCUUCCCUA